UACGAAGGGGGCUAGCGUUGCUCGGAAUCACUGGGCGUAAAGGGUGCGUAGGCGGGUCUUUAAGUCAGGGGUGAAAUCCUGGAGCUCAACUCCAGAACUGCCUUUGAUACUGAGGAUCUUGAGUUCGGGAGAGGUGAGUGGAACUGCGAGUGUAGAGGUGAAAUUCGUAGAUAUUCGCAAGAACACCAGUGGCGAAGGCGGCUCAUUGGCCCGAUACUGACGCUGAUGCACGAAAGCGUGGGGAGCAAACAGG
rnacentral:rRNA from 1 species